rfam:Homo sapiens chromosome 17, GRCh38 reference primary assembly.
GCUGGGUGUGGUGGCGUGUGCCUGUAGUCCCAGCUACUCAGGAAGCUGAGGCAGGAGGAUCACUUGAGCGUGGGAGGUCGAGGCUGCAGUGAGCCAUGUUUGGGCCACUGCAUUGUAGCCUGUGUAACAAAGCAAGACCCUGUCUCAA